AUGAAUCAACAAAGGUAGAUUUGUUACUAAUCUAAUAUCGAAGCUUAAUGAGGCCGAACAUGUUCAUCAGAGGAUGUUUUCCCUUUUUGUUUCUUUAUGAAGAGAAGGAUGAGGUUUUCUUGCCUCCCUCUAGUUUAGGUAGGUGUACAUAUCACAAAAAUCGUGUUUCUUUUUCUUUUUUGAUAAAUUCCAGAUCUGAUAUUACAAGACUUGAUCACAGAUUAGACAUCGUCUAAGUGGAAAACAUCCUUGGCUAGAUUUAUCUCGUUGGGCCACAUUCUAAGUUGAGAAUUUGUUGACCAAACCAAUAAGUAACCACAACAAAUAUGGAAGUAAAUGUUUGGUAAAAGUAGUCAUCGAUGAUAUCCUAUAAAACUAGCAAUACUAGCUCUUGUAGUAGUAUUUACAAAAGUCACCAAAUUUAGCUUUAAAACAUCAAUUUGUUUUUCAAGCAUCUAAAGCGGUAGUUCAUCCCAAAAAAUCCUAUCUCAAACAACAAAUUAAUUAACAAUUACACCAGUCACGACUACUCUUACCACCGACAAUUAACCUCCGUACGAGCCAUGAAGGUGGUACAAAGUACAAAAAAGGAGGAUUCAAACCCGUGACUUAUAGUUAAAAUCACCUCAAUCUUAACCACUAAAUUAAGACAUCCUUGAUACAAUCAUAUAGAAGUUGAAUAAUAAGAUACUUUAUGUAGCAUUAGUAUUAACCCUAACUACCAAUUCUCUAGGAGUACCAAUGUAAUUAAUUAUGUGAAUGGGUAGUUAUACAAGUGAGCUGAUUUUCGCGCCAAAUAAACUGGGUAGUUGAACAAAGGAGGAGGGUGGAAAAUUGGGAUGCGAUUGCGGAGAAACGAGGAGAGAGAAUGAGAUGCUUGCAUGAGUUGCAUCCUUCUAUUAGUUGCACAUAGAUGGAUACGGGUAUGGAAAAUGACGAGAUUUUAAAGUGUUAGGAAUGGCUACGCAUACCCAUACAUAAUACGUAUCAGGUAUUGAGUAUGGGUAUGACUUAUGAGUAUGUGACCUAGAAUAAGUACCCGUGUUACAUAGUCCUCCCACAUAUUCAUUAUUUUUUGAAAGGGAUGUGUUCUUGCCCUCUAUUUGUUCGACGAAAUGCUUGUGAGAAGGAUCCGCCUUAGUUUCUUGUUUUCUGGGGGAUCAUACUUAGAGAGUAAUAAGAGGGAGAAUGGGGUUUUUUCAGUGACCGAAAUAUGUGCUGUUUGAUUUUUGCUGCUAUGUGAAAUUGGGUUUAUGAACUACAUCAACAUGAUUGUUAUCAUAAAAGAAGUCAAGUGCUUUGCUUGGGCUAGAUGUCUAUUUGAUACGUUAGGUUUCCUUAUGAAAGUAUUGGGUUUUGAGUAUGUGUAUGCAUUCUCACAAUUAGGGGAUCAUGGAAGGAGGAAUAUAGAGUUGGAUGUUGCUAAUUUUUGGUAGGGGUUUUGAUCAUUCAUAUUACUACCCACAUUCAAGGAGUGGACUAUGCAAGAUGUGCUAAAAUCGUGAUUCGAAAUGAAAACUAUAUUGGUAGCAGUAAUGUAAUAUAGGUUGUAAAUUUGUCUUAAUGUGGUAUCAUCUCUAUAAUAACAGUACAUAAUUACAGAUGCAAAUUAUUAGCACCCAUAACUGGUUUAAAGGAGAAGUCUUCUGUUUGGGCAGAUAUUUUUAUGAUGGCAUCAUCGUCACAUGAUAAGAACUCGAGAAUUGGAAUGAAGAUGAUAUUUUUGCUAACAUUUAUUUGGUGGAGUAAAGGGAGGCUUUAAGCACAAGAUUGUAUUAUUCGUUCUAGAGAAGUAACAGACACACACGGCCACUCAUGGUCUCUUGCAGUCGGUCUAAGCAGAAGUAAGGAGAAAUACGGUCUCAAUCAUAGUUCUUCACAGCUGAAAACUUCUAGCUUAGAAGUAACAAACGCACCCGUCCACUCAUGCAGUCGAAGCUGAUUAGUAGGAGAGAUGCUUUCUCAACCGAAGUUCUUCACAGUUGACAUUUCUAGUCUGCGAAGCAGUUGCAGUUCUUUUUGAGAUACUUUUGCAUGAUUCACAAUACUUCCCAGUUACAAAAAAUCGUUGAGAGAGCUAUUACCGUUCUUGACCAUUUGUGUUGCCAUCCUUGUGAGUUGUGACAAGGUAAUAUGAAUACUACAUAUAUGCCAUAAGUCCAUAACUUAGAUGGGAGAAUCUUAGCCGUCUUCUGAGUUGGUUGCCUUUGCAGUAACAGUGUCAUUAGUCUUCAUUUAACAACGAAAAUAGUUACUGAUAUAUGAUUGGAAGCUAGAAAACUCCUGUGAAGAUCACCGGAAACAUUGAUUUAGUGAUUUCUACCAGCUGGGUCAAAGCUGAAAUUUCUGAUGAUAUAUUGCCAAUCAAGUGAUUAUCAUUCAGUCAUUCAAUAUACCGGUGAAGACAGCAAACGCCUCGCACUGAGUAGGCUACUAUGCACGUUGUGGCGGUCUCGACGAUACUGGUUAUAACUCUAAUGAACAAGUGUUGAAGAUAUUGCGUAAAGUAAUGUAUACACCUGAAUUGAGGUGGCAGCAAUAUGUACACACUAUAACUAAAUUACACUCUUCAACAAGAAAUGUUCAUUAUAUACCCGGUUGAUUCUCUGAUUUAGUACAAGAUUUACAGUGAAAGUUCCUGGUUUCUCUUUCUCUUUUGGAUGAAGAAAAUGUAUGACAGAAGAAAUUAAUAAUAUGGCGCGAAGUCUUUUCUUUGUUUGUUAAGUUCUGUUGGAGAUUUGUUUAUAGUUUAGGACAUGAUUUUUCUGUUUUGGGUAUGGGCAAAAAUCAACAGUUAUGGGCUUAUGGCCCAUGAUUGCCAUGCAGAGUUGUUAAUUAUUAUACCGUCAUACGGGCCUAAAGAAGUGUUUGUUCUCUUCGACAUAAAACAACCGAGCUGAAUUGAAUUGAUUGCAACUUAACUGAAUCGAGCUUAUUACAACUGAAUCGAACUGAAUUGAACUGAAAUGAAUUAAAUUAUAACUAAUAGAAAUGAUAUUCAGAGCUGAACUAAACUAAUUGCAACUACUGAAUUGAAUUGAACUGAGAAUAAGUUAGGGAGAACAUGCCCUAUUUCUAAAGUUUGUGAUUAAUGAUGUAUUACUUUUUUUUUUUUUUUGAAGUUUUCUCAAUUUUCUUUUUAAGACUUUACCCUUUUGCUUUUUUGAUCUUGAGAGCGUGCCUUUGUUCGUUUAAUAUAUUUAAUUAUGCAUUAAUUAAAAUUUAUAAAGAUGUUGUUAACGUAAAUGUACACUUGAUUUUAAUUUUGAACAUUUUCUAGAAAAAAAUGUCAACUAGUAUUUUUACUGUUUUAUUUUGUCAACUGAUACUUUAAAAUUGUUAACAACCCUACAACGAUAAAAACACCCACCGUAAAUGCCUUUACGAUGGGG